rnacentral:rRNA from 1 species
AACGAACGCUGGCGGUGUGCCUCAUACAUGCAAGUCGUACGCGAAUCCUGCCGCAAGGCAGGGUUUGAGUGGCAAACGGGUGCGUAACACGUAGGUAAUCUUCCUUUGAGUUGGGGAUAAGCCCUCGAAAGGGGGUCUAAUACCGAAUAACACUUCGGGCCGGGCAUCGGCCUGAAAUUAAAGAUGGCCUCUGCUUGCAAGCUAUCGCUCGGAGAUGAGCCUGCGGCCGAUUAGUUAGUUGG